rnacentral:misc_RNA from 1 species
CCCUCGGGUCCGGCCUUGGAGGUCGUGUUAAUCUCACUCGCGCUUACCAACAGGCCCUAGAGGCCUCUGUGGCUCAGAACUUCCCUGACAAUGGCUGCAUCUCCUGUAUGUGCCAUAACAAUGACAUGCUCUACAGCUCGAAGCAAACUGCAGUAGUCCGUGCCUCUGACGAUUUCUACCCACGAGACCCAGCAUCACACACCAUCCACAUCUCCUCCGUCGCCUACAACAGUCUG